UACAGAGGGGGCAAGCGUUGUUCGGAAUUACUGGGCGUAAAGGGCGCGUAGGCGGCCUGUUAAGUCGAACGUGAAAUCCCCGGGCUCAACCCGGGAACUGCGUCCGAUACUGGCAGGCUUGAAUCCGGGAGAGGGAUGCGGAAUUCCUGGUGUAGCGGUGGAAUGCGAAGAUAUCAGGAGGAACACCGAUGGCGAAGGCAGGUCUCUGGGCCACUACUGACGCUGAGAAGCGAAAGCAUGGGGAGCGAACAGG
rnacentral:rRNA from 1 species